GACGAACGCUGGCGGCGUGCUUAACACAUGCAAGUCGAACGGAAAGGCCCUGCUUUUGUGGGGUGCUCGAGUGGCGAACGGGUGAGUAACACGUGAGUAACCUGCCCUUGACUUUGGGAUAACUUCAGGAAACUGGGGCUAAUACCGGAUAGGAGCUCCUGCUGCAUGGUGGGGGUUGGAAAGUUUCGGCGGUUGGGGAUGGACUCGCGGCUUAUCAGCUUGUUGGUGGGGUAGUGGCUUACCAAGGCUUUGACGGGUAGCCGGCCUGAGAGGGUGACCGGCCACAUUGGGACUGAGAUACGGCCCAGACUCCUACGGGAGGCAGCAGUGGGGAAUAUUGCACAAUGGGCGGAAGCCUGAUGCAGCAACGCCGCGUGCGGGAUGACGGCCUUCGGGUUGUAAACCGCUUUCGCCUGUGACGAAGCGUGAGUGACGGUAAUGGGUAAAGAAGCACCGGCUAACUACGUGCCAGCAGCCGCGGUGAUACGUAGGGUGCGAGCGUUGUCCGGAUUUAUUGGGCGUAAAGGGCUCGUAGGUGGUUGAUCGCGUCGGAAGUGUAAUCUUGGGGCUUAACCCUGAGCGUGCUUUCGAUACGGGUUGACUUGAGGAAGGUAGGGGAGAAUGGAAUUCCUGGUGGAGCGGUGGAAUGCGCAGAUAUCAGGAGGAACACCAGUGGCGAAGGCGGUUCUCUGGGCCUUUCCUGACGCUGAGGAGCGAAAGCGUGGGGAGCGAACAGGCUUAGAUACCCUGGUAGUCCACGCUGUAAACGGUGGGUACUAGGUGUGGGGUCCAUUCCACGGGUUCCGUGCCGUAGCUAACGCUUUAAGUACCCCGCCUGGGGAGUACGGCCGCAAGGCUAAAACUCAAAGGAAUUGACGGGGCCCCGCACAAGCGGCGGAGCAUGCGGAUUAAUUCGAUGCAACGCGUAGAACCUUACCUGGGUUUGACAUGGAUCGGGAGUGCUCAGAGAUGGGUGUGCCUCUUUUGGGGUCGGUUCACAGGUGGUGCAUGGCUGUCGUCAGCUCGUGUCGUGAGAUGUUGGGUUAAGUCCCGCAACGAGCGCAACCCUUGUUCACUGUUGCCAGCACGUUAUGGUGGGGACUCAGUGGAGACCGCCGGGGUCAACUCGGAGGAAGGUGGGGAUGACGUCAAGUCAUCAUGCCCCUUAUGUCCAGGGCUUCACGCAUGCUACAAUGGCUGGUACAGAGAGUGGCGAGCCUGUGAGGGUGAGCGAAUCUCGGAAAGCCGGUCUCAGUUCGGAUUGGGGUCUGCAACUCGACCUCAUGAAGUCGGAGUCGCUAGUAAUCGCAGAUCAGCAACGCUGCGGUGAAUACGUCCCCGGG
rnacentral:rRNA from 1 species